rnacentral:lncRNA from 1 species
AAAGCCGUUAUCGAAGAAUCGACCAAUAGGAGACGAGAGCCCCCCACUUUUUCCCGCUCCCGACAACGGCCCAACGAACGAGCGAGGCGCUCGCAUUCCUGAAUUCGUCGGUUUGUUUACAACUUGUAUCCUCUCUUAUCAGGAGUUAGAGACAUAUUUUAGUGUUCCUUAUCGUGUUUCUCAUGGUUUUUGACAGUGCAAUACUUCAUGUUGUUUCCGCAAUUUUAUGUUAUACUCGUUUUUUAUUUGUGUUAUCUAUCAGUGACGUAAAUUAUUGCAGCAUUGUGGCUGGAAUAUCAUGACCGGCAACAUUCGUAGAGCUGUGACUCCAUUGAAGUCUGCAUCAACGAAUAGCUCUCGAUCGACGAGCCCUUCCCACUCCUUUAUUCCAGCACCGAGAGUCUCUGCUCGCAGUUCCCUGAAUGAAAAGCAACUCACCGGUAGUGGAGUUCCUCGGAGCAGUAAUGUUCCCACACGUGUUAGUUUGGCAAGCCCCUAUAAUCCUGCAAAUACCAAAUCAUCCAUCAUCUUUACACCCAAAGAGAAACCAAAAUCAAGUAUCGGUAGUACCAAAAGGACAUCUAGUUCGAGUGGAUUCAGUUCAGCCAGAUCGGAGAGAAGUGAUUCCUCAAAUAGCCUGUAUAAUGAUCCAAAGCAAACGACUCUUGAGAAGAAAAUUCCAUCCUCAACAGAUUCAGCACUGCGGAAAAAGCUUAUCAAGACUGGUGAAUCUAAAAUAGCAACAAAAACUAACUGUAAAGUUCAACAAAUUAGACCUUUAAGCAAAGCUGCCUUAGAUAAACAAAACGAGCUUACAAACUCCAUAACAUCUGAGACAAGUGAUGAAUCAAGACUUAGCAUUGGAGGUGGCAGCAGCAUACCAAAACCACUAGCAGCAGUUAAAGGAACAAGCAAGCCGACUCAUUGUGUGUCCCCCAUGCCUGUUUUAGAACAAACCACUAUCGUCAUUGAAAAUGAUGAAAGCAUCAAGAAAAAAGAAGAUGACGAUGAAAAGAAAGCGAAAGAAGAAAUAAAAGAAACUGAGAAGAUUGUACCACCAACUGUAAACAACCACACUAAACAAGUUUCUGUGGAUGAGGAAGACUGUUUAUCAAACAUCAAGCCAAUGCAACCAAUGAGAGGCUAUCCCAAGCAAAACGGCAUGCUGCAGCGGGCUCACUUAUCCACAGAACAACUAGCAAUGCAUCAUCAGUCAAUGGGGAUGCAGUCUCAAAACUACAUGAGGCACCUAGAAAACAGUAGGACAAGGUUGAACUCUGACCACUCGGGUAUGAAUGGUAAGCUAAGCCAACAUGAAUAUUUUUCCUUUAUUACGUUUGUCAACUUUCAGCUCUGUUCUAACAACUACUCUCUACUUUUUACUCCUCUUACCACUUUUCGGU